rnacentral:rRNA from 1 species
UGGGGAAUAUUGCACAAUGGAGGGAACUCUGAUGCAGCGACGCCGCGUGAGUGAUGAAGGACUUCGUUUCGUAAAACUCUGUUCUAUGGGAAGAAAAGGCCUGUACCAUAGGAGAAAGCUCCGGCUAAAUACGUGCCAGCAGCCGCGGUAAUACGUAUGGAGCGAGCGUUGUCCGGAAUUAUUGGGCGUAAAGGGUGCGCAGGCGGCUUUACAAGUUGGAUGUGAAAUAUUGUGGCUCAACCACAAACGUGCAUCCAAAACUGCAAAGCUUGAGUUAAGGAGAGGUAAGUGGAAUUCCUAGUGUAGCGGUGGAAUGCGUAGAUAUCAGGAGGAAUACCGGUGGCGAAGGCGACUUACUGGACUUAAACUGACGCUCAGGCACGAAAGAGUGGGGAGCAAACAGG